rnacentral:pre_miRNA from 9 species
CCCUACCCCCCUCUGGAUUUGAACUUGUGACCUCUUAAGAGGAAACACAUGUUCAAAUCCAGAGGGGGGUAGGGU